CCCCAUCUGCUCUCUCUCUCUCUUUCUCUCUCUGAGAAUACGGACUCCUCCCCGCACUUAGCCGCCGCCUCCCUCCCUUGCACCAGAGGACGGCACCACCGCCGCUCUCCCCGCGCACGCCGAAUAGCCAAUCUCCCCUCUCUCUUCUGUUUUGUUUCUGUUUUCUGAUUACAAAAACCCCUCUCUCUCACUCCCCGCGCCCGCCGAAUCGCCAAGCCUCAUCAACUCCUCCGGGAGUAUAAUCAUCGAGUGUUCAGAGUCUUUCAGACAAACAGAAAAGCAGAUCUGAAAAUGGGUCAAUCAGUGAAACCCAUAUCGAGCCCAGUCCCCGAUGAGUGGUUCCCAACCCUAGCGGUCUUCAUGCUUGCGAUCGGCCUCAUCGUCACCGCUUCUUUCUUUAUGGUUAUGCUUGGGAAAUAACAACUGCUGAAGGUGGCUAUGGUCUAGAUGAACUCUUAAGUAGUCGAAAGAGUGUUCUGACCGAAAUACAAAAUACCCAAGCAUCUCCCCAAGGUCAAAGUGAUAGCAAUCUAACUCAAGGCUUCAUGACUCCCAAAUUUUGUUGAUUGAGGACGAAUCGAACAUUGCGCUCACCCCAGCAAAGAGAACUGCCAAGGGCAACGGAAUCCUACAGAAUAUUUGCCAUCCAAUCAGCUUUAAACAGUUGGAAGCCCCCGUAACUUAAGAAGUUGGGCUGCCCGCGGAAUAGAACAUGCUGCUCAGUCGUAUCUAGCUGCAUCAACAUUUGAUUCUCGAUGCAUUUGUGUAGGCAAAUACAGGAUGAGGUUGAAAUACGAGAAUUGAUUGCUUAUUGAUCAUGUUGGCCAUCGUUGCUGUUGGGAAAGUCGUUCGGCUCGAACCUGGAAAAUUCAGGCAGUGGAAGACUGCAAUGUCUUAGUUGAAACUUUAGAGACUUUCAUCGAGGAGAGGGAAGCAGUUACAGAAAUAUGGCUGUUCCUUGGAGGCAACAUUGAUGGAAAGGAUAAGGGUUUUGAACUUGCAAUCUGGGAGUUGGAUUUAAGAUCUGAAUUGCCUAUUUUAUUUAUACCUCACAAAGGAUCGCGAUCAGAAUGCGUUGCGCUGUGCCGCCUUCAGGCACGGGCAUGCACUAGAAAUUGUAUUCAAUUUUCGUUGUAUAUCUAAAGGAGUGUGGUGCUGCUCUUUCUUAGAAAUUGUAUCUUAAAAAUGCUGAAGCUGUAAAUUGGUAGCUGUAAAUUGUAUCUAAAGGGUUCUGUUA